CCUACGGGAGGCAGCAGUAGGGAAUAUUGCUCAAUGGGGGAAACCCUGAAGCAGCAACGCCGCGUGGAGGAUGAAGGUUUUCGGAUUGUAAACUCCUUUUGUUAGAGAAGAUAAUGACGUUAUCUAACGAAUAAGCACCGGCUAACUCCGUGCCAGCAGCCGCGGUAAUACGGAGGGUGCAAGCGUUACUCGGAAUCACUGGGCGUAAAGAGCGCGUAGGCGGGAUAGCAAGUCAGAUGUGAAAUCCUAGGGCUUAACCAUAGAACUGCAUUUGAAACUGUUAUUCUAGAGUAUGGGAGAGGUAGGUGGAAUUCUUGGUGUAGGGGUAAAAUCCGUAGAGAUCAAGAGGAAUACUCAUUGCGAAGGCGACCUGCUAGAACAUAACUGACGCUGAUGCGCGAAAGCGUGGGGAGCAAACAGGAUUAGAUACCCGUGUAGUC
rnacentral:rRNA from 1 species